rnacentral:rRNA from 1 species
UGGCGGACGGGUGAGUAAUGCUUAGGAAUCUGCCUAUUAGUGGGGGACAACGUUCCGAAAGGAACGCUAAUACCGCAUACGCCCUACGGGGGAAAGCAGGGGAUCUUCGGACCUUGCGCUAAUAGAUGAGCCUAAGUCGGAUUAGCUAGUUGGUGGGGUAAAGGCCUACCAAGGCGACGAUCUGUAGCGGGUCUGAGAGGAUGAUCCGCCACACUGGGACUGAGACACGGCCCAGACUCCUACGGGAGGCAGCAGUGGGGAAUAUUGGACAAUGGGCGGAAGCCUGAUCCAGCCAUGCCGCGUGUGUGAAGAAGGCCUUUUGGUUGUAAAGCACUUUAAGCGAGGAGGAGGCUCCUUUAGUUAAUACCUAAAGAGAGUGGACGUUACUCGCAGAAUAAGCACCGGCUAACUCUGUGCCAGCAGCCGCGGUAAUACAGAGGGUGCGAGCGUUAAUCGGAUUUACUAGGCGUAAAGCGUGCGUAGGCGGCUUUUUAAGUCGGAUGUGAAAUCCCUGAGCUUAACUUAGGAAUUGCAUUCGAUACUGGAAAGCUAGAGUAUGGGAGAGGAUGGUAGAAUUCCAGGUGUAGCGGUGAAAUGCGUAGAGAUCUGGAGGAAUACCGAUGGCGAAGGCAGCCAUCUGGCCUAAUACUGACGCUGAGGUACGAAAGCAUGGGGAGCAAACAGGAUUAGAUACCCUGGUAGUCCAUGCCGUAAACGAUGUAUACUAGCCGUUGGGGCCUUUGAGGCUUUAGUGGCGCAAGCUA